GGAAGUCAAGAUUAUGGAUAUGUUCUUCCACGGCUUUCUUGAACUGUGUACUCAAUUCUUAUUUCUUUUCAUUUUUCUCUUUUUGAAUAGUUUGGAAAAAGAAAAAAAAAUAGGAUAAAAAAAAGGAUGACGGAAAAAAGAAAAGAAUAAUUUGGGAAAAGAUGGAGAAGGUCAUAGUUCAAGAAAGACGUGGGAAAACAUGGCAUGUCUUUUUGUCUCGUC
rnacentral:pre_miRNA from 1 species